CGCUCCCCACACGUUAUCUUCUCUCUGGCCGCGGUGAGCCUUGUUCAUCAGACGUGUUAGCGAUCAACUUCGUAUUUUUCCUUCUGCUUAUACACAUUUUCCAAGACGAUUUGAAUUUUAUUCUUAAACUAAAUACUUUUUCAACUAAACUAAACAAUACACACGGCUAAAAAGGUUCGUUAACAUUUCUUCAGACGCCUAUCGACCGAGCUUGGCAUCUUCUCAAGAGAAUCACUACAACAACGCCGUCAGCUACACCACAAAAAAUAAGACACUUUAAUAUUUUUUUUCGUGUUCUUUCGAAGUUAUAUGGGCAUUCUGAUUUCCUCAGGAAGAGAUGGCAUCACUAAGAAAGGCCAUUAGAAGCUGAAGUUCGUAGUAAUAACCAAGCUAGUUUUUAUGGCAGGCGAACGACAGACGUCCAUGCGAAUAUCCUCGUUGAGUCUUCGAUCUUUGCUCAACAAGACACCAGAGUGGAUUGAAGUGGAACAAGUCGAAUGAGCUAUUAAAGAUGGAAAUUCACAGUGAAUCGAAAAGUGAGAAGAGUAUUAUCCCUAACGUGGUGACUUAACUGCUGACAACAUCACUGAAGUUUGGAGAGUACCAAGUUCGAGUCCCGACUGAUUUCAACAAAUACAAUAAAUCUUGAACUUAGUGAAAGAUCAAUAUAUGUUUUUAUUUUCAUUUUUUUCAACAUAUGUAUGAUGAAAUUGUCUGUUUAUUUUUUCAAGUAAGGUGUUGCUGCUAUUUCCUUAAUUAAGCUUGUUCAUUUAGUGUCAACGAAUAAAUAUAUUGUAAGAUUUAAAGUGCAGCACAAGAAUUUUGCAUGACUGGCGUUUCAUUUGCAUAAAAUAUAGAAAGGUAAAGGUGUAAAGACAGUUUAUAACGAAAUAUUGUAAUUUUGUUACAAACGUAUUUUUCAACUUAAUAACUAUGGGCUGUUAAUCAUUACUUUCAAACAUUUACUUUCAGAAUUAAAUACGUUAUUAGUAUAUUAUUUACUAAUAAAUAACAGGCUG